rnacentral:lncRNA from 1 species
CCAGCCUCAAGGCAGAAAGAAAAACACACAGUGAGAACUAUGGCCUAAAACAGCUAGAGGACUUCCCAAGCUCACCUUUUGUUUUGAGAUCCUGGGAGGACACUGAAGUUGACAUUGGUGCCGCAUGAGAACACGCAUGACACCUCUCCUCAUCCCACAGAUUCUCCAAGUCCCACAGAGGAUCUCCCGUUUGCUUUGUAUCAGCCAGCUCAUGCGGAGGGUGAAGAAGAAGCUAGGGAUAAAAAGGAUCUGAAUCUAAAGGGUGACAGUGGUGGGCUCUUAAUGUACUUCAAGGAAAGGUGGAAGAUAGUAGGCAUCAUGAGCUGGGGUUAUGGCUGUGGGUAGCACAACAUCCCAGGUGUAUAUACCUGAGUCAGUUUCUUUCUCAACUGGAUCUAUAACAUCCGGAAGGUAGGUAUACAUGACUUUCCAAUUCACUACCUCCUGAACCCCUUCUAACUUCUCAGCUAUGGCCAC